rnacentral:rRNA from 1 species
UUGCCUACGGGAGGCAGCAGUAGGGAAUCUUCCACAAUGGACGAAAGUCUGAUGGAGCAACGCCGCGUGAGUGAAGAAGGGUUUCGGCUCGUAAAGCUCUGUUGGUAGUGAAGAAAGAUAAAGGUAGUAACUGGCCUUUAUUUGACGGUAAUUACUUAGAAAGUCACGGCUAACUACGUGCCAGCAGCCGCGGUAAUACGUAGGGGGCAAGCGUUGUCCGGCUUUAUUGGGCGGAAAGCGAGU